AUUGAACGCUGGCGGUAUGCCUUACACAUGCAAGUCGAACGGCAGCACGGGAGCAAUCCUGGUGGCGAGUGGCGAACGGGUGAGUAAUAUAUCGGAACGUGCCCAGUCGUGGGGGAUAACGCAGCGAAAGCUGUGCUAAUACCGCAUACGAUCUCUGGAUGAAAGCGGGGGACCGAAAGGCCUCGCGCGAUUGGAGCGGCCGAUGUCAGAUUAGGUAGUUGGUGGGGUAAAGGCCCACCAAGCCAACGAUCUGUAGCUGGUCUGAGAGGACGACCAGCCACACUGGGACUGAGACACGGCCCAGACUCCUACGGGAGGCAGCAGUGGGGAAUUUUGGACAAUGGGCGCAAGCCUGAUCCAGCAAUGCCGCGUGCAGGAAGAAGGCCUUCGGGUUGUAAACUGCUUUUGUACGGAACGAAACGGUCCGGGCUAAUACCCUGGGCUAAUGACGGUACCGUAAGAAUAAGCACCGGCUAACUACGUGCCAGCCGCCGCCGUAAUAC
rnacentral:rRNA from 1 species